GAAGCCGCUCGCUCAAGAACACCCGCUCAAAAACACCCACAAAAAAGAUCCUCUAACCUCAUCCUCCCAAAAAAGCUGUUCCCAUGCAGUUUUCCCCGCCACCUUUGAAAUCCAGGAUGGUUCAAGAAUCCUUUACUCUCCAUUUCCUGAAGGUGCUGAAGGAACUCCUGGCCUUCGUGCUUUUCAGUUACACCGUCUUGUUUGGAGCGCUGUUGUUGGCUGGAUGGACGACUUACUUCCUGGUGCUAAAGUGACCCCCGUGUUGUGGUUCUGCCUGGAGCCUGGAGACCUCAGCUGGACAAAA